rnacentral:rRNA from 1 species
CAGUCGCCGCGGUAAAACGUAGGGUGCGAGCGCUAAUCGGAAUUACUGGGCGUAAAGCGGGCGCAGACGGUUACUUAAGCAGGAUGUGAAAUCCCCGGGCUCAACCUGGGAACUGCGUUCUGAACUGAGUGACUAGAGUGUGUCAGAGGGAGGUAGAAUUCCACGUGUAGCAGUGAAAUGCGUAGAGAUGUGGAGGAAUACCGAUGGCGAAGGCAGCCUCCUGGGAUAACACUGACGUUCAUGCCCGAAAGCGUGGGUAGCAAACAGGAUUAGAUACCCCAGUAGUCCCUGUCUCUUAUAC